CCCGGCAGGGUCCGGCCCCUUGACACGCCCCCAAAUAUUCGCACGCUUUCGGAUUUUCCUCGUUCAAGAGAAGCAACCAGCGCGUCUCGCGGCCGGGAACGGGUUCGGUAAAGUCCGGCCCCUGACACGCCGCCAAAUAUUCGCACGCUUUCGGAUUUUCCUCAUUCAAGAAAAGCAACCGGCGCGCCGGCCACUCGAUACGACGCUUCUUGUCCCUCUGCCAAUCUGCAAAUAGCCGAACCCAGACGAGAAACUGCCGGGUUUGUCGACUGCACACAUAACAAUCGCCACGGUGCCACGGAAGAAGGGCGUGCACGCCGAAAUGUCAUUUCCAGAAAAUCGAUUUCAGAGUUUCCAAACUGUGCCACGAAAUUAAAGCAACAACAUAUUGCACCAACGAUUGUCGUCGACAUUCAAGCUUCCCAUAAACGACGUACCGAUAUGGAUUAUGAGAUCCAGUUGCAAGGGUACGGUAGAUAUGAGGACAUCCUUGCAGAUCUGGAAAUGAUUGUCAUUCCGAGUCGCCAUAUUAAAAAGCAUGUUGAAGGACAAAUAUCGCACGGACCUCGACAAAUGGACAGCUAUGCGUUAUACAGAGAAGAUAGGAUUGUGGACCGCGUAGCAUUAGGCGGAGAUCUGAAUUUUGAAUGGGACCUUGGACACGGGAUAGGUAGUUUUCGGAUUCACUGCUCAGAAAACCGUUUUCCGUCGUGCUCACUGGGCUAAUGUGCCACCGCGAUUCUGCGGGGUUGGGUAUUUUUGGAAGAGGAUGUUAUAGAUCUAAGAGAGCGACGGGUAUUUAUGGGAUCGUGUUGGUGCUAGGUGUAACAUAGCAAAGUGCUAGGAAGCCGGGACAGAAGUUCCAGAAGUAAUGAUACAAAUAUAGUGCGAGAGAGAGUAAAUCAUUCUUCGUUUCAACAAUUCAUUUUUGUGCUGUUACAUGUGUAUCGAAUAUGUUAUAUUAACCGGGGAAAAUGUGAAAAAAUGAAAUGGUAAGAUAGAUCUUGAUCUUCUUCUCUCUACGAUAGAUCUUGAUUCUUCGCUGUUUGUUUCAGUAAAGCAAUUUUCUUUCGAUUUCCAUUUCUGUGAUCACAUUGAUUCCCAGUUCACCAAAUUUUUGAAUUCGGACAUAUUUUUUUGUGAACAUAUUAAAAAAGAAUACACCGUUUCCUUAUCUAAACAAAUUUCGCGUUAGCUUUGUUCGUAGAGGUGCCAGUCUUGUCAUAUUCCACUUGAAAAUUUUCCAAAAUCAGUAGAAUUCGACAAUUUCAUAUUACCCUGCACAACUCGGCCACUUCAAAUAUCGUUAUCUUAUUUGGUCAUCGUAUUAUCGUUAUCGUAACGCAUCGCGUUAAGAAAUAAUCGCGCAAAGAUUUCGUCGAGCUUACCCGCCGUCCAAAAGUGUAUUUGGUACAGUACAUUUUUCAUUUCGUGUAAAACAGAUUUAUUAGUCUUUCCACAUUGUUUUAUAACAUCGUAACAAUCCUGUGAUGCGGUUAACCCAGCGUCGAGUUACAGGCGUUAAAAGGAUUUUUAAAAAAUUGCAGAUUUCUUCCAGUUUUUGGUCAAAA